CCUACGGGGGACAGCAGUGAGGAAUAUUGGUCAAUGGACGGAAGUCUGAACCAGCCAUGCCGCGUGCAGGAAGACGGCUCUAUGAGUUGUAAACUGCUUUUGUACAAGGGUAAACCUGAAUACGUGUAUUCAGCUGAGAGGACUGUACGAAUAAGGAUAGGCUAACUCCGUGCCAGCAGCCGCGGUAAUACGGAGGAUCCACGCGUUAUCCGGAUUUAUUGGGGUGAAAGGGUGCGUCGGCGGAUUGAUAAGUUAGAGUUGAACUGUCCGAUCUGACCUCGGGAACUGCCUCUCAUACUGUUGAUCUAGAGCGUAGCUGCGGUAGGCGGAAUGUCUUGUGUAGCGGUGAAAUGCUUAGAGAUCAUACAGAACACCGAUUGCGAAGGCAGCUUACCAAUCUAUAUCUGACGUUGAGGCACGAAAGCGUGGGGAGCAAACCGGAUUAGAUACCCUGGUAGUC
rnacentral:rRNA from 1 species